rnacentral:rRNA from 1 species
GUGUGUGACGGGCCAGCAGCGCGUGGAAUACGGAUGUUGGGAGGGUUAUCCGGAAUUACUAGGUGGAAAGCGUGGGGAGGGGGGUGUGUAGGUAAGGGGUGAAAGCGCGUGGUUUAGCGGGUAGGGGACGUGCAAGACGGCUAGGCUGGAGGGGGAGAGAGGGGUGCAGAAUUCCCGGUGUAUGGGUGGAAUGCGUAGAUAUCGGGAUGAAUACCAGUGGCGAAAGCGGCGCCCUGGCUCGCACCUGACACUGAGGCGCGAAAGCGUGGGGAGCGAACGGGAUUAGAUACCCGAGUAGUC